GCAGUCGAGGGGUAACGGGGUGCUUGCACCGCCGACGACCGGCGCACGGGUGCGUAACGCGUAUACAAUCUACCUUAUAGAGGGGAAUAGCCCAGAGAAAUUUGGAUUAAUGCCCCAUAGUAUUAUUAGAUAGCAUUAUUUGAUAAUUAAACAUUUAUGGCUACAAGAUGAGUAUGUGUUCUAUUAGUUAGUAGGUAAGGUAACGGCUUACCUAGACUUCGAUAGAUAGGGGUCCUGAGAGGGAGAUCCCCCACACUGGUACUGAGACACGGACCAGACUCCUACGGGAGGCAGCAGUGAGGAAUAUUGGACAAUGGGCGAGAGCCUGAUCCAGCCAUGCCGCGUGCAGGAAGACGGCCCUAUGGGUUGUAAACUGCUUUUAUAGAGGAAGAAACAUCCCGACGUGUCGGGACUUGACGGUACUCUACGAAUAAGGAUCGGCUAACUCCGUGCCAGCAGCCGCGGUAAUACGGAGGAUCCAAGCGUUAUCCGGAAUCAUUGGGUUUAAAGGGUCCGUAGGCGGGACAAUCAGUCAGCGGUGAAAGUCUGUGGCUCAACCAUAGAAUUGCCAUUGAUACUGUUGUUCUUGAAUACUUAUGAAGUGGUUGGAAUAUGUAGUGUAGCGGUGAAAUGCAUAGAUAUUACAUAGAACACCGAUUGCGAAGGCAGAUCACUAAUAAGUCAUUGACGCUGAUGGACGAAAGCGUAG
rnacentral:rRNA from 1 species